rnacentral:rRNA from 1 species
UGUAAUUUGCAGAGGAUGCUUCGGGAGCGGUCCCCAUCUAAGUGCCCUGGAACGGGACGUCAUAGAGGGUGAGAAUCCCGUAUGGGAUGGGGUGUCCGCGCCCGUGUGAAGCUCCUUCGACGAGUCGAGUUGUUUGGGAAUGCAGCUCUAAAUGGGUGGUAAAUUUCAUCUAAAGCUAAAUAUUGGCCGGAGACCGAUAGCGCACAAGUAGAGUGAUCGAAAGAUGAAAAGCACUUUGAAAAGAGAGUUAAAAAGCACGUGAAAUUGUUGAAAGGGAAGCGCUUGCGACCAGACUCGCUCGCGGGGUUCAGCCGGCAUUCGUGCCGGUGUACUUCCCCGCGGGCGGGCCAGCGUCGGUUUGGGCGGUCGGUCAAAGGCCCUCGGAAGGUAACGCCCCUCGGGGCGUCUUAUAGCCGAGGGUGCAAUGCGACCUGCCCAGACCGAGGAACGCGCUUCGGCUCGGACGCUGGCAUAAUGGUCGUAAGCGACCCGUCUUG